AACGAACGCUGGCGGCAUGCCUAACACAUGCAAGUCGAACGAGACCUUCGGGUCUAGUGGCGCACGGGUGCGUAACGCGUGGGAACCUGCCCUUAGGUUCGGAAUAACUCCCCGAAAGGGGUGCUAAUACCGGAUAAUGUCUUCGGACCAAAGAUUUAUCGCCUUUGGAUGGGCCCGCGUUGGAUUAGCUAGUUGGUAGGGUAAAAGCCUACCAAGGCGACGAUCCAUAGCUGGUCUGAGAGGAUGAUCAGCCACACUGGGACUGAGACACGGCCCAGACUCCUACGGGAGGCAGCAGUGGGGAAUAUUGGACAAUGGGCGAAAGCAUGAUCCAGCUAUGCCGGGUGAGUGAUGAAGGCCUUAGGGUUGUAAAGCUCUUUUACCCGGGAUGGUAAUGACAGUACCGGGAGAAUAAGCACCGGCUAACUCCGUG
rnacentral:rRNA from 1 species